rnacentral:tRNA from 1 species
UGGGGUAUAGCUCAGUGGUAGAGAGCCUGCUUAGCAUACACAAGGAUGUGGGUUCAAUCCCCAGUACCUCCA